rnacentral:RNase_P_RNA from 1 species
CGAGUCGACCGGGCGACCGCGUCGGGGUUCUCACCAGAACUCCGCCGAGGAAAGUCCGGGCUCCACAGGGCAGGGUGGUUGCUAACGGCAACCCGGGGUGACCCGCGGGACAGUGCCACAGAAAACAGACCGCCAGCGGGUCCGCCCGCUGGUAAGGGUGAAACGGCGGUGUAAGAGACCACCAGCGGUGCGAGUGAUCGUGCCGGCUAGGUAAACCCCACCCGGAGCAAGGUCAAAAGGCCCGGCCGGGAAACCGGUCGGGCUGCGCAGGCGUUCGAGGGCGGCCCGCCCGAGCCUGCGGGUAGACCGCUGGAGCCUGCCGGCAACGGUAGGCCGAGAUGGAUGGUCGCCUCGGCGCGCGAGCGCCGGACAGGACCCGGCUUACAGGUUGACUCGUCCG